UGUCCAAACAGGGGAGCUGUGGUUUAACAAUAGUUCAGAAACUAGGAUAUGAAACUGGAUUAGAUUGCAGUUUCGUAUCCUGGUCUCUCGGUUAAACCACAGCUCCCAGGUUUGGACACCAGGUGGAGCUGUGCUGUGUACAAAUAAGGAUUCUCUGGCAUGUGAGGCAAGGAAGAAAGGAGAGGGGGAGGGGUUUGCAUGGGUUUGACAGGCUUUGGGUCACAUUGAAGGCCCAUCAAGGUUUGCUGGCUUGUCUAGACUGGCCCACUGCCUCGUAAAGUGAAGUCCAUAGGCCUUGACAUGCACUCUGAAUUAAAGCGUGCCUUUCUAUGCGGAAAUCAGACUGGGACAGGGAGAAGGCAGGAUUUGAGUGACGGAGUACACCUUCAGUAGACCCCAGUGGAAGGACAGGAGGGCGUGUAAAAGGACAGAUGACCACUAAAAGAACCAAAGUUACAGAAAGCUUGUAAGUAUGUCACGUGAAGUGUCUUCUUCGGCAGACAAGAACUGAGGAGGACAGUGCGAAGCACAUGACCAAGGUAUAGUGGAGGAGCCUGUCUACCUAUUAGAGAGCCAGAAAAAGAUUAGCUUAGCAAGCAAUUCCACAACGUCUACUGAAGCAUGGACGAAGACUGUGGGGAUGAGGAGAGGCACAUCUGCAUAUAGCGGCUGGGGGCGAGGUUCCCACUCAAAUCAGGAGAAUACAGCUUGUUAGGUUCUGAUGAGGUCUCUGCACAGGCACAAAGCCCAUCAGUGUAAAAGACAGAGACCAUGUCAAAGAAUCAACAUAAUGUUCUCCCUACUUUGGAAACAUGGUUAAAACAAAAACAAAAAAGGGAAGAUAGCCUAACAGCAAUGAGAUAAUGAAACUCCCUAAAAAGAAAUAAAAGUUCACAAGUAGGAGAAAGUUCAAA